CGCGUAGGCGGCUGGUGAAGGCUUGUGUGAAAGUCCGGGGCUCAACCCCGGAUCGGCACGGGCGACUCGCUGGCUGGAGCCCACUAGAGGCGGGUGGAAUUCCGGGUGUAGCGGUGGAAUGCGUAGAGAUCCGGAAGAACACCGGUGGCGAAGGCGGCCCGCUGGGGUGGAGCUGACGCUGAGGCGCGACAGCGUGGGGAGCAAACAGGAUUAGAUACCCUGGUAGUCCACGCCGUAAACGAUGGGCACUAGGUGCUCGGGGGAGCGACCCUCCGGGUGCCGGCGCUAACGCAUUAAGUGCCCCGCCUGGGGAGUACGGCCGCAAGGCUGAA
rnacentral:rRNA from 1 species